GCCUCCGUGGUCUAGUGGUUAGAGCGUUAGGCUCAAGAUCCAGAGGUCCCGGGUUCGAUUCCCGGUGGGGACA